AUGUAAGUCGUUCUUCUCUAAACCUGUGGACUGUAACUCCUUUAAGUGUAAACCAUUUGUUCCUUCACCUACACCUUCACCUGCAACACCGGUAACACCUUCACCUCCAUCACCUUCUACACCUUCACCUACUACCCCUGUAACUCCUUCACCUACGACACCUGUAACACCUUCACCUCCUUCCCCUUCAACACCUUCACCAUUUCCUUCACCUACAACACCUUCACCAUUUCCUUCACCUACGACACCUGUAACACCUUCACCUCCUUCCCCUUCAACACCUUCACCGUUUCCUUCACCUACGACACCUGUAACGCCUUCACCUCCUUCGCCAUUUCCUUCACCUACGCCACCUGUAACACCUUCACCUCCUUCCCCUUCAACACCUUCACCUACAACACCUUCACCAUUUCCUUCACCUACGACACCUGUAACGCCUUCACCUACGACACCUGUAACACCUUCACCUCCUUCGCCAUUUCCUUCACCUCCGUCAUUUCCUUCACCUACGCCACCUGUAACUCCUUCACCAGUACCUUCACCUCCAUCACCCACAACACCUUCACCUCCAUCACCUACAACAGUACCACCUGUUCAUAGUCCUUCUCCAGGGUAUUUGCCACCGCCGCCACAUUCUUCCCCUAUACCACCUGUGUACCCUCCACAACAUUCUCCAC
rnacentral:lncRNA from 1 species